AUUGAACGCUGGCGGCAGGCCUAACACAUGCAAGUCGAGCGAGCGGCGGACGGGUGAGUAAUGUAUGGGGACUGCCCGAUAGAGGGGGAUAACAACUGGAAACGGUAGCUAAUACCGCAUACUAUCGGAUAACCCAUAUGGGAUUAGCUAGUAGGUGAGGUAAUGGCCCACCUAGGCGACGAUCCCUAGCUGGUCUGAGAGGAUGAUCAGCCACCCUGGGUCUGAUGCGCGGCCCGGACACCGGCGGAGGCGUCAGUGGGGAAGAUACCGCGAUGGUCGCAUGCCUAGUGCAUCCCUGCCGCUUGUGUGGAGAAGGCCAUAUGGUUUUAAAGUACUUUCAGUCUGGUGGCGUUACCUACAGGAUUAGCGCCGGCUAACGCCGAGCCAGCAGCCGCGGUAAUAC
rnacentral:rRNA from 1 species